AUAGGAACACUGUUGAUUACCGACGUGCAGUCGUUUGGCUAAAGAUAUUAAGUUGUCCGGAAAGUCCAUGCCGAUUUUUGGUGAACAUAUGUUGAGUACCAUGUCAGCUGGCUCUGUCUACCUUUGACGAGGGCAGCUUCCACCUGGCAGCUUAACGUAACAGCUGCGUUUUCGCAUGGCGUGCCCUUGUGAAAUAUGCAUCACUAUGGCGCGGUGCUCGAUUUGAGGCGUUCAAUGGUGGUAACGGCCUAUUGUAUUACAAAUCUUGGCUCGCUUCUAUUAAUAACGACACCCACGAGGUAUGCAAUGACAAUACAGCGUCGUUGCA